rfam:Cricetulus griseus cell line CHO-K1, whole genome shotgun sequence.
CAGUGCAGUCACCCAUAAAGUAGAAAGCACUACUAACAGCACUGGAGGGUGUAGUGUUUCCUACUUUAUGGAUGAGUGUACUGU